AAGCCUAAGUACUCCUCUACGACCGAUAGUGAACAAGUACCGUGAGGGAAAGGUGAAAAGCACCCCGACAAGGGGAGUGAAACAGAUCCUGAAAUCGGAAGCCUACAAGCAGUCGGAGCCGCCAAGCGCGGUGACGGCGUACCUUUUGUAUAAUGGGUCAGCGACUUCAUAUGUCGAGCAAGCUUAAGCCGUUAGGUGUAGGCGCAGCGAAAGCGAGUCUGAAUAGGGCGCUAAGUUCGACGUAUGACGACCCGAAACCAGGUGAUCUAUCCAUGAGCAGGAUGAAGGUAAGGUAACACUUACUGGAGGUCCGAACCCGUGAAUGUUGAAAAAUUCUGGGAUGACUUGUGGAUAGGGGUGAAAGGCCAAUCAAACCUGGACAUAGCUGGUUCUCCGCGAAAUCUAUUUAGGUAGAGCGUCCGACGAAUACCCUGGGGGGUAGAGCACUGGAUGGUUGCGGGCUGCGCGAGCGGUACCAAUACUAACCAAACUCCGAAUACCCAGGAGUACUAUCGGGCAGACACACGGCGGGUGCUAACGUCCGUCGUGAAAAGGGAAACAACCCUAACCAUCAUCUAAGGCCCCCAAGUCAUGGCUAAGUGGGAAACGAUGUGGGAUUGCUUUGACAAUCAGGAGGUUGGCUUAGAAGCAGCCAUCCUUUAAAGAAAGCGUAACAGCUCACUGAUCAAGCGAUCCUGCGCGGAAAAUGUAACGGGGCUAAAGCCAUGCGCCGAAGAUAUGGGUUUGCAGUUUACUGCAAGCGGUAGCGGAGCGUUCCGUAAGCCUGUGAAGGUCAACCGUGAGGUUGGCUGGAGGUAUCGGAAGUGAGAAUGCUGACAUGAGUAACGAUAAACAGUGUGAGAAACACUGUCGCCGAAAGACCAAGGGUUCCUGCGUAAAGCUAAUCUGCGCAGGGUUAGUCGGCCCCUAAGGCGAGGCUGAAAAGCGUAGUCGAUGGGAAGCAGGUAAAUAUUCCUGCACCAGCUGGAAGUGACGGAUGGCAUAAGUCGUCGGGGCUUAUUGGAUUGUUCCCGGCGGUGGCGUCGUCCCUGGAAAUAACUCCAGCAGAGACCGUACCCGAAACCGACACAGGUGGUCAGGUAGAGUAUACCAAGGCGCUUGAGAGAACUGUGCUGAAGGAACUCGGCAAAUUGCACGCGUAACUUCGGAAUAAGCGUGACUCACCCUGGGCAACCAGGACUGAGUGGCACAAGCCAGGGGGUAGCGACUGUUUAGCAAAAACAUAGGGCUCUGCGAAGCAUCAAUGCGACGUAUAGGGUCUGACGCCUGCCCGGUGCCUGAAGGUUAAAGGGAGGAGUGAAAGCUCCGAACUGAAGCCCAGGUAAACGGCGGCCGUAACUAUAACGGUCCUAAGGUAGCGAAAUUCCUUGUCGGGUAAGUUCCGACCUGCACGAAUGGCGUAACGACUUCCCCACUGUCUCCAGCACAGGCUCAGUGAAAUUGAAUUCCCCGUGAAGAUGCGGGGUUCCCGCGGUCAGACGGAAAGACCCUAUGAACCUUUACUAUAGCUUCGCCUUGGCGUUAGCGACCGUAUGUGUAGGAUAGGUGGGAGGCUAUGAAACCGGGGCGCCAGCUCUGGUGGAGCCAUCCUUGAAAUACCACCCUUACUGUCGUUGACGUCUAACCGAGGGCCGUUAUCCGGUCCCGGGACAUGGCGUGGUGGGUAGUUUGACUGGGGCGGUCGCCUCCCAAAGUGUAACGGAGGCGCGCGAUGGUUAGCUCAGACCGGUCGGAAAUCGGUCGUCGAGUGCAAUGGCAUAAGCUAGCCUGACUGCGAGACUGACAAGUCGAGCAGAGACGAAAGUCGGCCAUAGUGAUCCGGUGGUCCCGCGUGGAAGGGCCAUCGCUCAACGGAUAAAAGGUACUCUAGGGAUAACAGGCUGAUUUUGCCCAAGAGUCCAUAUCGACGGCAAAGUUUGGCACCUCGAUGUCGGCUCAUCACAUCCUGGGGCUGGAGCAG
rnacentral:rRNA from 1 species